AAGUCGUAACAAGGUUUCCGUAGGUGAACCUGCGGAAGGAUCAUUAUCGUAUAAUAGAGGCGCUGGGGUUGUCGCUGACCCUUGAAACGGUCGUGCACGCCUUGGUGCUCUCACACACAAUCCAUCUCACCCCCUUUGUGCAUCACCGCGUGAAGGCCCCUUUUGGCUACUUCCAUGGGGGGUUUUCAUGUUUUUACACAGACACACCUUUUUAAUGUAAUGUAUAUGAAUGUCUUUACUUUUUGCGAUCACACGCAAUCAAUAUAACUUUCAACAACGGAUCUCUUGGCUCUCGCAUCGAUGAAGAACGCAGCGAAAUGCGAUACGUAAUGUGAAUUGCAGAAUUCAGUGAAUCAUCGAAUCUUUGAACGCAUCUUGCGCCCUUUGGUAUUCCGAGGGGCACACCCGUUUGAGUGUCGUGAUAUUCUCAAAACGUUCUUGGUUUAUUGACCAAGAAGGUUUUUGGACUUUGGAGGUUUUUGCUGGCUUCUUCCCUUGUUGAAGCCAGCUCCUCUGAAAUGAAUUAGUGGGGUCUGCUUUGCUGAUCCUUGACGUGAUAAGAUAUUUCUACGUCUUGGGUUUCGC
rnacentral:rRNA from 1 species